rnacentral:rRNA from 1 species
GACGUAGGGCGCGAGCGUUGUCCGGAUUUAUUGGGCGUAAAGAGCUCGUAGGCGGCCAACUAAGUCAGACGUGAAAUCCCCCGGCUUAACCAGGGAACUGCGUCUGAUACUGGAUGGCUUGAGUUUGGGAGAGGGAUGCGGAAUUCCAGGUGUAGCGGUGAAAUGCGUAGAUAUCUGGAGGAACACCGGUGGCGAAGGCGGCAUCCUGGACCAAUACUGACGCUGAGGAGCGAAAGCCAGGGGAGCAAACGGG